rnacentral:lncRNA from 1 species
AGAAUGGAAAAGUAAUUUGCUCUGUAAAAGAGACGAAUAACGUUUAUUUUAAGGUAUAAAAAGGUUAAAGACCCUACAAAUACCUUAAAUGUGGGGGAAGUUCACCGAAGAGUUGGCAAAUUACUUAGUAAGUCCCAAAAAACACAUGGGGGACUUUUUUGAAAACAACUACUCUCGAAUGAAUAUAAUUUCAUAAGAUGGA